rnacentral:rRNA from 1 species
UACGGAGGGUGCGAGCGUUGUCCGGAAUCACUGGGCGUAAAGGGCGCGUAGGUGGCGCGGGUAGUCGUCGGUGAAAGCUCAGGGCUCAACCCUGAGUCGGCCGGUGAUACUCCCGUGCUUGAGUGUGGUAGAGGCCAAUGGAAUUCCGGGUGUAGCGGUGGAAUGCGUAGAGAUCCGGAAGAACACCGGUGGCGAAGGCGGUUGGCUGGGCCACAACUGGACACUGAUGCGCGACAGCGUGGGGAGCAAACAGG